rnacentral:lncRNA from 1 species
UACAUAUCAUCAUCAUCGACAUCAUUUGACAUUUGUCUUCCAUUCCAUGCUGGCACAGGUUCAUCGUUUAAAUAAAUGUGAAUAUAUAUGUAUAUGAUGAUGAUGAUGAUGGUUUCUCUCGCUGAUUUCUAUGUAUGAAGGACCAAUAGCCUUAUUCUUGAUGUCCAAGUUCCUUAUGAGAUUUUAAUCUAGCCAAAGAUUCACAAACGAAGGUAGUUAUACAAAGCAGCUAAUGUGUUUCAUUAAGACCAUCUUUGCUCUCAGCUCUGUAAUAUGAUCCAGGUAACUUCGUUCAUAGUUUCUUCGAGUUUCAUGGCAUGUUAACCACCAUUCACUGAGAUUCAAUGUAGUUUUUUCUAAUGUUUCUGACGGUGUUUUUAUCAGUCUCAGAUUAGCUUUAAGCUUAGCCUCCAACCUAAUUCAUGGUCUCCCUAUGCUUCUCCUUCCAUCAUGAAGUUGGUUUAUACAGAAGGACUUUUGGAAUUCUGUUGUCACUUAUUCCAAUGACAUCACCAAUCCAUCUUAAUAGAGUUUACAAAAGAAAGAAUUCAAUUCCGAUCACCAAUGUUACAUUUAGAGAAUAGGUCAAUAUUUCAAAGACUGUCGUUCAAGCUGUAUUCCCAAAUGAUCCAAAGCCAUUGCUUAUCAAACUGGUUGAUAUGCGAUUGAUGGGGCACCCAGAUUCCAAUCCAUACUUGGAGAGUAGGAAGAACUACCACUUGGUAGAUGUUAAUUUUCAUUUCUAAUGAGGUUCCUCGUUCAACCCACAGCUAAUGAGGAAAUUUGCUCAAAGCAUUCAUAGCUUUAGUUAUGUGGUUGAUUGUUUUGUCCUCAGGAGAAACACCUGAGUUUUCACUGUUUCCCAGAAAUGUGGCGUUUUUAAUACAUUUCAGGUUUUUGUCAUAAAGGAUUAAAUAAUUACACAAAAUGCAAUGCAAUGAAAUUUAGGAGUUUGAAAAAGACAUGACACCAUGAGGAUGAGAAGAGUUUGACAUUUUGGAACUUGUCCCUUCAUCUGAGAAAGAUAUACAUGCUCUUUAGCAUUUUUCCUCUUCCGUAUGAAGGGACAACCCUAAAACAUCAAAUUCCUCAUAUCAUCGUCAUCCUCAUCACUGAAUGUCUCUAUUCAGUGCCAGCAGGAGUUGGAUGGUUUGACAAGAGCUGGCAAGGCUGGAGAGCCACAGCAGGUUCUAUUGUUUGUCUUGUCAUGGUUUUUACAGUUGGAUGCUCUUCCCAAUGCCAACCAUUUUACAGAGUGCACUAGGUACUUUUUACAUGGUACCAGCACCAUGUUGCAUUAGCUCAUACCAACUCACAUGAACAUAUAAACUCAUCUGAAGAUACCAAACUAUCGAAACUCAACAAACAUAUAAUUUCUAUAAUUUUUACAAAAAAAGCACCACCACCACACUCCUCAGAGUGUGUUCCAUGAAGUCUUUAAAAAUAUUUUUACCUUCCAUAUUUACUUAUAUCCAAUGUGAAUCUCAGUGUUUGUAGCGAAAUUUCAGGAAUCCAUUUUAUUAGGUUGUAUAAUGUCACUCGUCACUUACAACUAGAGGUACAUAUAUCUUUUCUGAAACCAACCUAAUAUAAUCACAGACAUUCUUUUAUUAGAAGACUCUCUACUUCCCUUUGCCUUCCUAAAGCGCUUUGCUCUGCCCAUUCGGCAAGGGUCGUCGAUGACUUUUCUACAUUCUGUUGCUUUUGAAUUAUCAUCAAUGUCUCUCUGGUUAAGGGUAUUGGCCCAACACAAACCCAUUUUGACCCAUGGGAAGAGGUGGUCCAUAUUAGUCUGGCCACUCUUCUUUGACCUGUCCAGCAUGCGAGGUGGAUGCUACCCAAAGCCUUGCACUCCACAGGCAUAAGCAAUGAGGGUCAGUGAGGCAUGCAAACCAUCACACCACUACAAAGAGUGUAUAGAUGGGGGUGUAUAGAUCCUGGUUUGAAACAAGUCCCCACUUUGAGGGUACAUUCUCUCUCUCCCAACCCACCACACACGCACCAUCUUGGAAGACACAUAAUAGAGGGUCAUGGGCAUUGUCUGUCCUUCCCCAGAUAAAAAAAAUGUCACCCUUAUUAGUAUCAUUUGACACCCACUUUCCCAUACUGGUUUAAGUUGGACAGGUAUACCUAGGCAGUGUUGUUCUAUAGUUGAAUGUCCUUUCUUCUUCUAAGCUUUUUAGUUUGCAGCAAUUCAGUAGUCGUUCAAUUGUUUAUUUUAUUUUUGUUUUUCCAUGAAUUGUUGACAGGAAACAUAAGCAUGGCAUCACCAUCCUGAUGAGCUUUCUUACAGUUUCUAUUUAAUAGUUCCAUUCACAUGGCAUUGGUCAGCCAAUGGCUAUUGUAGAAGACACUCAAAAUGACAGACAGUGGAACAAAACUCAAAACCAUGAACUCUGCAUCCAACGUGCCAAAAACUACUGGCAGACAUCAGAAUUGCAAUCUACGAAACCCCAGCUUAUCCAAAUUGUCUCUUAAACAUUUACUCACAAAACGAAAUGAAUUAUUACUGAUAAAAAUGGGAUUUUUUUUUUUCAUCUGAGUACAGAAACUCGAGGUUUUGAAACAGUUGUUCAUAGUUAUCCUCUUCUUGAUUUUCAAAGAGGUGCUCAUGUAAGUGGGGCACCUGAUGUCUAUAAUGGCACACACGCUUUCUUGUCUGACCCAAACGAUGAUAUCCUUUCUAUUAUGUAUAUAUACAUGUAUGUCCAUACAGCAUUUCAUAGAAACAAGCAACUGAGUGAAUACAUCAAGCAUUAGAUAUUACCAGGACAUUAUCUUCAGGAAAUCCUCUUUUUCACAGAUUCAUUGUUUGUCCAGUUCUUAAUUUUUAUGUCCUUUUGUAUUUCUUAUGUUUGCAUGGGUUAGACAAAUACACAUUUUGCUAACAGACUGAAUUUACAACCAAAUGGGCCCUUCAGUUGCUAGUCCUUGCUUUCUGAGUAACACAAAUGUAAACAUUCACACACAUACAUGCGUGCUUACACACAUGCACACACACACAUAUACACAGCACACACACACAUUUCACAACACACACAUGCACACAAACACACCCGCAUACACACACACCCGCAUGCACACACACCCGCAUGCACACACACCCGCAUGCACAUUUACACAAUACAUACACAUGCACACACACACACACACACACACUCAUACACACACACUGCAUACAAUCCCAAAGCAUUGGUUGUGGUUAUGUUUACCUUUUAUCCUUUACUUGUUUCAGUUAUCGGACUGUGGCCAUGCUGGAGCACCAUGCUGGAGGGUUUUAGUCAAAUUGACCCUGGUACUUAUUCAUUAUUUUAAGUCUGGUACUUACUCUAUCAUUCUGUUUUGCUGAACCACUGAGUUACUAGGACAUAAACAAACAAACACCAGUUGUCAAGUUGUGUGCAAAAACAAGCACCAGCACAAAUACAUCAUCAUCAUCAUCUUCAUCAUCACUUAAUGUCCGUUGCCCAUGCUGGAAUGAGUCGGACGAUUUGACCAGAACUAGCAAGCUGGGGAGCUACACCAGGUUCCAAUCUGAUUUCACAUGGUUUCUACAUUGGGUUGCCCUUCCUCUCACCAACUGCUUACAGAGUGUGCUGGGUGCUUUUACUGCAUAAGCACUUAUAUGUGGCACUGCACGAGUGCUUUUACAUGGCACUGCACGAGUGCUUCUAUGUGGCACUGCACGAGCGCUUUUGCAUGGUGCUGCAUGAGCAUUUAUCUUUAUAUAUAUACACAAAAGGCUCCUACACAGUUUCUGUCUACCAAAUUAACUCUCAAGGCUUUGGUCAGCCUAUUGGUAUAUUAGAUGACACUUACCCAAGGUACCAUGCAGUAGGAUUGAACUGAAUGCCACAUGAUUUCUAAAUGACUUUCUUAAUCCCACAGACAUGUCUGCAACUAUAUAUUUUUUUUUAUCCACAAAUAUAAUGCUGCCCACUUCAAUUUAGGCUUUGAUUUCUCUAGAUUAAAUUCCUCACAUUAUCAUUAAAUAAAUGCAGUAAAGAUGAUGAUGAUGACUUAGAAAUGGAGCUGAGGUUAAUUAUGGCUCAGAUAAAUCCACAGCCCUUAAACCAUCCAGUGGUCUCAGAGAUACAAAAAAAAAAUUAAAAGUUGAUUAAAAGUAGAUUAAAAAUUCCACAGCUUUUAAAAGGUUCGUUAAACUCCAGCUACAUUAUGGCUGAAAAGUCAAAGAAUCCUCAAACCUUUGAAAUAAUUAUUAUAAUUAUAGAUAAUAAUAAUAAUUAUUAUCAACAAUAUUAUUUGUAGAAAACUCACUGCUUUUGUCAUCUAUUUCAAUGCAUUAGUGUUGUUAUUAUUGCAUCUUAUAAACAUUGGAAAAUGUUUCCCUUCUUCAAGGUGGAAUCAUAAUUAAUGAUUUCUUUUUAAUUUGAUCUUUCAGUUAUUAUCAUUAUCAUCAUCAUCAUCAUCAUCAUUGUUAUUGUUAUUAUUUUUAUUUUUGUUUCUUGUUUUUACAUUCUUUUUGAUCAGAAAUGAAGAGAUUAUUAUGUGUGAAAGGUAGAUAUAUAAAAGUUUAAAUUUUGGGGGAACUUUAUUUCAAAAGUUGAAGUUCCUUAUUUUUCUAAGUCCUGUGAUAAAGCAAGAAUCUUCAUCCACACCAGAGAAGAAAAAAAAAAUAACCUUACACCAAAACAAAAUAAAAGAUAGAAGUAGAAUUCAUUGAACUGUUAUGGAGAAGAUAUCAGACAAUGUGGUCCCUCACGAAAAUAGAGAAAGAAAACGAAAGAAAGGUCUUUGUUAAAAUUUCUGCCAGAACAUAACAGCUUUAUCUUCUUCACUUGUUAUAUAUAUUUCAUUCAGUGUACCCAAAACAAUAUGGGAUUUACCUUGGAAGUAAUUCAAGUAAUGCACACACACACACACACACACACACAUGCACACACACACACAUGCACACACACACACACACAAAACCCAGCUCUAGUAUCUGCAUUCUCUUUCAUAGUCUUUGGCAUUUAAAGAAUUAAACGGAAUUUCUGUUUUGUCCUGUGUUUCCUUUCUGCCCUCACAUUGUAUUUUUGUUGAAAUAGGAUGUUAAUUAUUAUUAUUGUGGAUUUAAAAAGAAAAGUGACAGUAGGGGGAGGGGGUUCAAUACAAAACUAAUUCUCUCACUUCUUAAGUCAUAUCUCGUAUUCUUUAGCAUUUAAUUAGUUUAUAGAUUUUGGGGCUUAAUCGUUUUUUUGAAAAUUUUUUUGGUUCAUUACAUGUGAGUGCAUGUGUGUGUAUACAUAAAUAUACAUGCACACAUUCAUGCAUAUAUAUAUAUACACACACACACAUUUAUAUAUAUAUGUGUGUGUGUAUAUAUAUAUAUAUAUAUAUAUAUACAUACACACACACACACGCAUAUGUAUAUGUAUAUACAUACAUAAAUAUAUAUAUGUAUACAUAUAUACACACCCAUUUAUACAUAUAUAUGUAACAGUUAUUUUUUGUUUUAUUUUCGUUUUGAAGUUUGUUUGCAGCUUUAUAAGAAUAUCAUUAUUAUUAUUAUUAUUAUUAUAUUUUUUUUUCCAGAACAAGAAUUAUUUGUGUUGCGUUGUUAAGUAAAGUGUGGCUCUUUUAUUCCAUAAAAGAAAUAGUUCAUGACUGACAUUCAUGCUGGAAUAAUAAAACAAUAAAAUAAAAUUUUAAAAGAUGAAGCACAAAAAAUAAAAAAUAGAACAUGUUGCAAAACAAAACAAAAGAAAAAAUAAUAAAGAGAAAAAAAUAACAAAACAUAAUUGAUAUUAUUUUCUUUCUUUUUGUUUUUGAGAGCCAUAUUUCGUUGGUUGAAGUUAUUGUGCCAUGGAUGUGAAAUACUGAGUUAUUAAAGGAAAUUAUUUAUUUCACAAGUUAUAUGCUGUUGAUGUUGUUCCAAUUGUUGCAGGUGCUUUUGUUUAAGACCCAGCCCCAAUUUGAUCAAACUGAUCAGUGAUCAAAGGUGUUUGAACUGUGAAUGUCCCAUCGUGUUGUUGUCGUUUAGCUCCUAGAUCAGCUCCCUGAUCCAGAGGCUGCUGCUGGAUCAGGGAAUUUAAGAAAAGGUCUCAUGUAGCAGCAUUUAAACUGAUCAUCUCUGGCUCAAAUAUUUCACAUAAGUUCAAACUACCCUUCAACAUUGUUCUAAACAUAAACAACCACAUCCUUAAAUUCUUGAAGCUACAAAAUUUUUAUGAUUAAUUCUAAACAAUGUGAAUAAAUAAGAAUUAAAUUUGACCAAGUAGUCAGAAUGCCACCAUUCCUGCUUAUUAACUCUUCAGGGUUCACACUGGUUAGCAGGAUGAGCUUUAUCAGGAUUUAGAUUCGGUUACAGCUACUGCAACAUAGUCUCAACCGUUGGAUAGGAACUGUUUUGCAUUUGUUGUUACACUCUUGGCCUUAUCUACUUUGAAACGACUGAGAUAAUGUGAAGUAAAGAAGAUUAUUUAGUCUUAAAGAGGACAAGACAACCUCCCUGAAGUUCGUUCCAUGAUAGAAGGUUGCCAGUCGACUCUUUCUUGUGCUUGAUGUAUAAAUGGAGACAAAGUAAAAAAUACUCUAUUUUUUCAAAUCAAAAACAUGACUACUUUUCUAUUGCAGGCAUUGUGCUAAAAUGCUAUCUGUAAAGAGAUUGGUAUUUAUGUAGAACAUUGAGCUGUAGAAAAAUGGGAAGACCAUACGAGAGAGCAGUACCUCAGGAUGAUAAGAGAUGACUUGGUCUAUGAUGCUUGCAUGGAAAGAGGGCAGAUGAUGACGGUCAUGAUGACGAUGACGAUCAAGUUACCCUUUGGUCAAAUUGUUUUCAUGGAAGGCUGGAUAUGAACGGCACCAGUUGUAUUACGAUGGUGACACAACUAUCACACAAUGUCAACAUAAGGACGUUCAAACAAACACACAUACACACACACAACACAUGUAUAUAUACACGCACACACUCACAUAUGACAGGCUUCUUUCAGUUUCUGUCUACCAGAACCAUUCAUAAGGUCUUGGUUGGUCCAAGGCCGUAUUAGAAGACUCUUGCUCAAGGUGCCAUGGAGUGGAACUGAAGCCAAAACCAUAGAGUCAGGAAGCAGAAUUAAUUGCACGACCAGUCUGGAUCUAAUAAGGAUGACAGCAAAAUAAAGGCAAAACUUUUGGUUUCAAUAGAAACUUAUGGAAUCAAUAUUCUGCUUACAAUAAAUGUCAAUAUUUUGAUUAUUUUGUUUUUCUUUAAUUCCUCAUUAUUUAAUGACUGAAUGUUGAUUCUGUUCAAAAUACGAUGUGUGUGUGUGUGUGUGUGUGUGUGCGUGUGUGUGUGUGUGCAUAAAGUGUCAUCUUCAACAUUUCAUCCUUUUUCCAUUCUGGAGAUGGACAAAAUUUCUCGGGGCACUCCGCCAUGGCCAGAUGCUCUUUUUUAUUCCAGACUCUACUUGUUCUUGAGUGAAGUCCUUUAUUCCGCUGGUCUUUUGAUGCUGAACUACCAAACUGCAAAACAUAAGCGAAUACCUCAGCAGCUGCAAACACACACACACACAUUCAUGACAGACCUCUCAACAGUUUCUGUCAAAUUUUACAAUCCAUUGAACAGUUUGAUGCUACAGGAAAGAGGGACACUUGCCCAAAUUGACCUAUGCUGUAACUGAACCUGGGGCCAUGGGAUUGCAAACUGUGCUUCUUACCUACCGAGUCACACAUUCAUCUCAAAAUCCAUUAAACUUCUACUGAGAUGUUUACAUGUUCUGAGACCAAGCAGUUUCAUUAGUGCUUUAGUUAGUUUUAGCCAUCACAGCUAAGGCCAUGCUGGAGUACCACGUUCAUAAGACUAAGAUAUUUGAUCCUAGUUUUCUGCCCUGUGAGUUCAAAUCCCACUGAGGUCAACUUUGUCUUUCAUCCUUUCAGGGGUCAAUAAAAUGAAAAAAAAAGAUUAGUGAAAGUGUUGGAGCAUCAAGCAAGGUGGCUUGUGGUAUUGUUCUCAGUCUUUGUGUUCUAGGUUCAAAUUCCACUAUGGACCGCUCCUGGGGACAGAUUUAAUCCAUAUAUUUAUAUGCUAUAGACGUUUGAAAAUCUAAUGUGAAACCGGUUAAGUGUAUUCCUAUAUUUUAAAAUAUAUAAUAAAUAAAUGUGCCCUUUUAAAGCCUAGCUAGGCUCAUGGGUCUGGUUUCCUGGUUUCAAUCUUGUAUGUGUUCCCCAGCUGGACGGGACACCAGUCUAUCACAGCUUUACUUAUUUUUGCCAGCUGAGUGAACUGGAACAACGUGAAAUGAAGUGUUUUGCUCAAGAACACAACGCGUCGCCUGGUCCAGGAAUCGAAACCACAAUUUUAUGAUCAUGACGCUGACACCCUAACCACUAAGCCACACGCCUCCACAUUUAAAAAAAAAAAAUAAUUAAAUUUUAAUAUAUUCUCUGUGCAUUUUCAACUUCAUUUCUUCUAUUCCUCCAUUUGUUUGAAUUAAUAACACACACACACACAGAUUUGAGUGUACUUGUGUUUUCCACUUGACAACUCAUGCUGAUCCAUGUUUAUUCCCUGGGACUUAGCAGUUUGGCAGAAGAAACUGUUAAAAUAAAUACCAGACUUUAAAAAAAAACAAAGGUACUGGGGUCACUUUGACUGAAUCAUUCAAUAUGUGAUGCUCCAGCAUGGCCACCGACCUGUAAUUGAAGCAAGUAAAAGAUACAAGAUAAAAGAUAAAAUCUAUUUAUGCAGUUUUUUUUCUUCUUUUAAACUUUGCAAAUAUUUGAGUUCAACCUGGAUUGGCAUGACUGGCUUCUCUCCACCAACUUUCUGAUUGUCCUGUACCAAUGUCAACAAAACAUUUUUGUUUGCUCCAUCAUCUUAAGUCUUAAAAAUCUCUUCUUCUUCCUUUUUUUUUUCUUCUCCCCCAAUCUUGAAGAACUAAUAUUGUAAUUGAUAAUUUAGAAAUGGCUUCAUUUGUUUUUCGCUUUUCUCUGGUAAUUCUUGGACAACAAACACUACAGCAACCAAAUUUUAAUUCAUUCAUUCAGAAAAAAAAAAGGACUUUUUAAAUGCAUUGUCUUCUAUAUUAACAUUAACAAAAGCAGCAACAACAACAAGAGCAACAAUGCUCUGGAAAAUUGAUAAAGGACUACAAGAGUAUAAUAGAUGAAGAAGAGACGAGAGAUUAAAGUUUGUUUUUAUGUAGAAGUGAUGACACAAAGCCAGCUCUGAUACACUACACAGAAAAGUGGUGAACUGCAAUAUGCUAUAAUUUUCUAAACAAUUUAUAAUAUUUCAUUCACAAGUUUUUUUUGUUGUUAUUCUUUUCUUUCUAUUUUUUUUUUUUUUGUUAUGUUAUUGAUAAAAACUGGCUGGAGGAAAUUAUCUGUUGAUGGAAAAAACCUUGCAUUAAACUCAAAAAGAUCAAUUCUCUAUAAUCAAUAAGUGAUGAUACCUUCUUGCUGCUGGUUGAGAGAUUCUGAGUUGCCACUUUUUCUAUGUUCUCUGGCUCUUCAUGGUGUGAACUGUAAAGUGCAAGCAACAGAAAGGGGUUGGGGCCACAAUGAAGGGCAGCAUGAUCCCUGUCUUCAUGUUCUGAGCUCAAAUUCUGGCAUGGUUGUCUUUGCUUUUCUUCUUUUUGGUACCAGUUGAGUGCUGGGGGUCGAUGUACUUGGCUCUCCCCCUCCCCCAAAUUUCGGGCCCUGUGCCCUAUAACAGAAAGGAUUAUUUUUACUAUUCUUCUUUUAAUUACUAUUAUUAUUUAGAUUAUGGUGGCAAGCUGGCAGAAUCGUUAGCACACCAGGCGAAAUGCUUGGUGAUACUUCUGAGUUCAAAUUCCACCAAGGUUGACUUUGCCUGUCAUCCUUUGGUGGCAGGGUGUCAAUAAAUUAAGUACUAGUUCAGUACUGGGGUCGAUGUGAUCAACUAUCCCCCUCCCUCCAAAUUCCAGGCCUUGUAUCUAUAGUAGAAAGGAUCAUUAUUAUUAUUAUUAUUAUUAUUAUUAUUAUUUUCUCUUUAUCACAGGUUUUGUUGGAGCUCCUGGAGUUUUGCAUGUGUAAUGGGUUUGCUACCUGCAGCCUAUGGUACCAUGCUAUCCAUUCUUUUCAGCUAUCAAAUACUUUCCUAAUUAUUCUGACCACGUCAAGGAGGCCAACCUUUUGUAACAGUUCUACUGGGCACUCUAUUCCAAUUUCCUUCAUAUUCCUCUUGAUGCCUUCUGAUACUCUUCCCAAGGACCCAACAGUUAUUGGCACUAUCUUCACCUUCUUCAUUUUCCAUAACCAGGCUAUUUCAUACUUAAGAGGGUCAUAUCUAUCUUUUCACCAUCCUUCUUAACUAUUUGUGGGUUAGAGGGGUAUGCAACAUUGACUAUAUAGCACAUGUUGUGCAUCUUGCUGACCACCAGUCUGUUGUGCUGUAGCAUCUGAUCUGUUUGAAUUAUUAUUACCUCCACGAAGGAAGGAGGUUAUGUUUUCAUCGGUGUUGGUUUGUCAAUCUGUCCCUCUGUCUGUCCAUCUGUGUGCAAAAUAACUCAAAAAGUUGCAAACGGUAUUUGAUGAAAUUUGCAGGAAAAGUUGGUAAUGGCACAAAGAACAAAUGAUGAAAUCUUUGUAGAAGCUCUGCCAGAUCAGAUCGGUGUCUGGUUCACCAGACCUCAGUCAAAUCGUCCAACCCAUGCUAGCAUGGAAAGCGGACGUUAAAUGAUGAAUGAUGAUGUCAUCUUCUUCAGCUCAAUUAAUAUUAUAAUUAGUCCAGUCUUAAUUUACCUUAACUUCUAAAACUCAUUUCCAACCACCACUGCAAGGAACCACUCUUUGCCUAACUAGAAAUAGCUGUUAAAUCCCCAUCAAAUCCCACCUGUUGCAUAACAGGCAACCCUUCCAUGAUCUGGGAAGAUACACCAUAUUUGCACAAAUUGUUUUAAAAGUAUUUUCAGGUAGAUGUAGACACUUUUUUGGCCCUCUGACUCAUGAUUCAACAGAACAUCAGGAAGUGGUAACUGGAAGGUGAGGCAUCAACAGUAGACUGGUACUCAGUCACAGCCGAGUAGACUGUGGCAACAUAACAUGAAAUGCUUUGCUCUAUAUAUCAGUCUAUCUGUCUGUCUGUUUGUCUAUGUAUGUAUGUAUCUAUCUAUCUAUCUCUUUCUCUGUCUCUCUCACUCUCUCUGUGGCUGUGUGGUAAGAAGCUUGCUUCCCAACCACAUGGUUCUGGGUUCAGUCACACCUUGCGCAAGUGGCUUCUACUAUAGCCUUGGUUUGACCAAAGCCUUGUGAGUGGAUUUGGUAGAUGGAAACUGAAAGAAGCCCAUCAAAUGUGUGUGUGUAUGCAUGUAUGUUUGUGUAUCUCUGUUUGUCCCCACACCAUCGUUUGACAACUGAUGUUGGUGUGCUUUCAUCCCUGUAACUUAGCAGUUCGACAAAAGAGACCAAUGGAAUAAGUACUCGGCUUACAAAGAAUAAGUCCUGGAGUCAAUUUGCUCGACUAAAGGCAGUGCUCCAGCUUGGCCACAGUCAAAUGACUGAAACAAGUAAAAGAAUAAAAGAAUAUAUAUACACACAUAUAUAUAAUAGUCUUUUAUUCUUUCACUCAUUUCAGUUAUUUAUACUCACACGUAUGCACAUACAGAUGGUUCAGAAUCGAAUGGAAAACAAAAAAUUCAAACAAGUUUCACACUCAUGAAAAGUGGAAGAAUCUUUGACGUUUCAAGCUGAUGCUCUUCUACAGAAAGAAAUAAGGAGAGAGAACGGAUGGAGAGAGGAAAAAAAUAGAUUUAUAUACAGGGUGCAGCAGAAAGGUUGCCCCAGUUUCAAAGGUUAAUAAAAAAACACAUGAAGAUGCAUGAAAAGCCCUUGUAUUUCUAUGAAGUUCAUUAAAUGCCAUUUUGUUUUGGUUUUCAAAGGGUGCCCACCAUGGCUUGGAGUAGAGAGCAUCGUUUUUUCUUGUAUCUUCAUGUGUUUGUUUUUUAUUAACCUUUGAAAUCGAGGGAACCUUUCUGCCGCACCCUGUAUAAAGAAAUAUUUUCUAAAAGUUAUGAAUCAUUCAAAGAAAAAUCUUUGAAAAAUUGAAUGGCAGGAAUCUUUAAGAAUAAAGUGCUUACGGCCAUAUCACAUUGACAGCAACGGUUCUCAUCCGAUCAACAAAGUUUAACAACGCUGAGCCUAGUGAGUACUUAGAUGGGUGACUGCUUGGGAAACCUAGGUGCUGUAAGCGUCUCACACUUUUAUAGGUGCAGGUGUGGCUGUGUGGUAAGUAGCUUGCUUACUAACCACAUGGUUCCGGGUUCAGUCCCACUGUGUGGCACCUUGGACUUCACCCUUACAGUGCGGCAUGAAAACUGUUUUCCUGUUAACUUCACAUAAUAAUUUAUAAUUCCCUAACAAUAUGUAUGUAGUAAGUAAAAAAAAAACGAAGAACAAAUACAAAAAACAACAAUAUGAGUAUGUGGUACAAUGCAAAAUAUUAGUAGACCCUUAGGGAAGGAAAGAAAGGUGGCUUAGCGUUUCAAUCAAAGCUCUUCUUCAGAAACAGAGAAAGUCCAAUAGGAAAGGAAGACAGGAAACAAAAUUCACCAACGAUUCACAUUUAUGUGUGUGUGUGUGUCCAUGCAUACGUGUUUCUUUUUGUUUUUCUGUUGUUCCAGUAGAAAUAAUCUAAAUUAGGUCAACCAAUAACCAACUGAGACAGACUGGCAAAGUAUCUUUUACUGCUCGGAUGCUACUGUUAACAUUUACAAGUAGGCUCUCAGCUAAUUGACAACUUUAUGGCUUCUUAAAACUAUUUUAUAUCAACAAUUAAAGACAUUAUUCAAACACACAAUCCUUUAUAUACACACACACACAGAUGCACAAUUUUCUACAAUGCUUCAUUACAUGUUAAAUACGUUAAAUCUUCGGAAAUAAUUAAACCAUUUUACAAUUCCAUUGAUGGUUUGUAUUUACAGUCUUCUAAUUAGCUUUCUCCUGGUGCUGGGCCAGGUGGUCACAGGUCCUUCUACCCUCCAAAAUUGUGAGUAGCAUAUGUAUAUGCCUAUGAAUGUAUGUAUCAUAUAUAUAUAUAUAUAUAUAUAUAUAUAUAUAUAUAUAUAUAUAUAUAUAUAUAUAUAUAUUGUUUCCCUUCAGCAUGUGUAAGUAUACAUGAAUAUAUACAUAUACAUAUCAACAUAUAUGUAUAUGUAUAUAUAUAUAUAUGUAUGUCACUUUUGAGUGCUACUGGUAACAUGUAACCCAGUACAACCUGUUGCAUGGUUAGGCCGUCGGCGACUAAACCGGCAACACCACCAAGCUUGCUUGGUGAGGAGGGUGUUUAUUGGACGCCCUGCGGGAUGAAAAACAAAACCCAUCAAAGGGCGGAGGAACUCUUGAGAGUCAACGGCCAUCAAUUAAGGUGUAAUUUUUUUAUUUUCUUAUGGCUUAAGGCUGUAUCAUGCGCAGGGACUGAAUACCCGAUCGCAUGGUUAAACCAUUGGGAGUGAAGGACUCCUAGCCUUUGUUAGGGCAUCCUUCUAGGAGAAGGUAACUCAGGUAACUGGGAUAACUCCGACAUAAAACCUGCGGCUCAGUGGUUACGAUUUUGUCAACUUGUUCUUCUUUUCGGAUUAUGGCUGCUGUUGCUUAGUGAGUGGGAUUGAUUCAAUGUACAGCCUUUCCUCACUUUAAAAAAAUCUUCUUGCACAGGCAUUACACGAUAACAAUGUUCAUGAUUGUUGAUGGUGCUGUGAGUCUCAACUGAAUGGCUGGCUGUAGCCUUAAAUAGCAAAUAAAAGUCACAUUCGAUCACAGCACCAAUAACAGUUGAGCUUCGUGCAAUGACCAUACUUGAUAAUGAGGGGGCAGCCAUCAUAUAUACAUAUACAUAUACAUAUAUAUAUAUAUAUAUAUAUAUAUAUAUAUAUAUAUAUAUAUAUAUACAUAUAUAUAUGUAUAUACAUAUAUAUAUAUAUAUAUAUAUAUAAUAAAUAUUAGGGAAUGAAUCCAAAAUUACAGGGAAAAAUCAGAUUUAGGGUUAAAUCCAAUUUUAUAGUAAAAUAUUAUAUAAUAUAAUUCGAGACAAAACCACUAUUUUAAAAUCAAACAAGGAAAGACUUAAUCAAUACAUAAAAUUUUAAUAUAAAUUAAAAACAAUUGUAGUGGCGGUUUAUUUAAUUUAUAUUAAAAUUUUAUGUAUUGAUUAAGUCUUUCCUUGUUUGAUUUUAAAAUAGUGGUUUUGUCUCGAAUUAUAUUAUAUAUAUAUAUAUAUAUAUAUAUAUGUAUAGAAGUAGAUCACCUGUGAUCAAACUACAAAGAAAAGAAUGUUCUCUAGAGAAAAAUUCAGCAGAUACCAGAACAAUAUGCGGGCAAGACAGAUGAAAAUUAUAUAAAAAGAAUUAAUUGCAGACCUAGGUUUCACCUAUUAACGAAUGAAUCACUUACGUAAUUGUAAUCGUCCGUAGGCUCGUCAGUACGAUCAUUCCACAGGUAAUAUAAUUUG